rnacentral:rRNA from 1 species
GGGUUGUGAGGUUAAGCGAAUAAGCGUACACGGUGGAUGCCUAGGCAAUCAGAGGCGAUGAAGGACGUGCUAAUCUGCGAAAAGCGUCGGUAAGGUGAUAUGAACCGCUAUACCCGACGAUAUCCGAAUGGGGAAACCCAGUAUCCAAUGGAUACUAUCAUUAACUGAAUCCAUAGGUUAAUGAGGCGAACCGGGAGAACUGAAACAUCUCAGUACCCCGAGGAAAAGAAAUCAACCGAGAUUCCCCUAGUAGCGGCGAGCGAACGGGGAGCAGCCCAGAGUCUUAAUCAAUAGCAGUGUCAGGAGAACGGUCUGGAAAGUCCGGCAGUAAAGGGUGAUAGCCCCGUAUCUGAAGAUGCUGUUAUUGUGAACUCGACGAGUAGGGCGGGACACGUGUUAUCCUGUCUGAAUAUGGGGGGACCAUCCUCCAAGGCUAAAUACUCCUGAUUGACCGAUAGUGAACCAGUACCGUGAGGGAAAGGCGAAAAGAACCCCGGCGAGGGGAGUGAAAAAGAACCUGAAACCGUGUACGUACAAGCAGUAGGAGCCUCUUUAUGGGGUGACUGCGUACCUUUUGUAUAAUGGGUCAGCGACUUAUAUUCUGUAGCGAGGUUAACCGUAUAGGGGAGCCGUAGGGAAACCGAGUCUUAACUGGGCGAAUGAGUUGCAGGGUAUAGACCCGAAACCCGGUGAUCUAUCCAUGGGCAGGUUGAAGGUUGGGUAACACUAACUGGAGGACCGAACCGACUAAUGUUGAAAAAUUAGCGGAUGACUUGUGGAUGGGGGUGAAAGGCCAAUCAAACCGGGAGAUAGCUGGUUCUCCCCGAAAGCUAUUUAGGUAGCGCCUCGUGAACUCAUCUUCGGGGGUAGAGCACUGUUUCGACUAGGGGGUCAUCCCGACUUACCAACUCGAUGCAAACUGCGAAUACCGAAGAAUGUUAUCACGGGAGACACACGGCGGGUGCUAACGUCCGUCGUGAAGAGGGAAACAACCCAGACCGCCAGCUAAGGUCCCAAAGUCAUGGUUAAGUGGGAAACGAAGUGGGAAGGCUCAGACAGCCAGGAUGUUGGCUUAGAAGCAGCCAUCAUUUAAAGAAAGCGUAAUAGCUCACUGGUCGAGUCGGCCCGCGCGGAAGAUGUAACGGGGCUAAACCAUGCACCGAAGCUGCGGCAGCGACACAUAGUGUUGUUGGGUAGGGGAGCGUUCUGUAAGCCUGCGAAGGUGUACUGUGAGGUAUGCUGGAGGUAUCAGAAGUGCGAAUGCUGACAUAAGUAACGAUAAUGCGGGUGAAAAACCCGCACGCCGGAAGACCAAGGGUUCCUGUCCAACGUUAAUCGGGGCAGGGUGAGUCGACCCCUAAGGCGAGGCUGAAAAGCGUAGUCGAUGGGAAACGGGUUAAUAUUCCCGUACUGGUGGUAACUGCGAUGGGGGAACGGAGAAGGCUAGGUUGUCCGGGCGACGGUCGUCCCGGUUCAAGCAGGUAGGCAGAGUGAUUAGGCAAAUCCGGUCACUUAAUGCUGAGAUGUGAUGACGAACCACCAAGGUGGUGAAGCAAUUGAUGCCCCGCUUCCAGGAAAAGCCUCUAAGCUUCAGGUUACCAACAAUCGUACCCCAAACCGACACAGGUGGUCAGGUAGAGAAUACUCAGGCGCUUGAGAGAACUCGGGUGAAGGAACUAGGCAAAAUGGUGCCGUAACUUCGGGAGAAGGCACGCUGGCGGUAGGUAAAGUCCCUCGCGGACGGCGCCCAAGCCAGUCGAAGAUACCAGCUGGCUGCAACUGUUUAUUAAAAACACAGCACUGUGCAAACACGAAAGUGGACGUAUACGGUGUGACGCCUGCCCGGUGCUGGAAGGUUAAUUGAUGGGGUUAGCGCAAGCGAAGCUCCUGAUCGAAGCCCCAGUAAACGGCGGCCGUAACUAUAACGGUCCUAAGGUAGCGAAAUUCCUUGUCGGGUAAGUUCCGACCUGCACGAAUGGCGUAAUGAUGGCCAGGCUGUCUCCACCCGAGACUCAGUGAAAUUGAACUCGCUGUGAAGAUGCAGUGUACCCGCGGCAAGACGGAAAGACCCCGUGAACCUUUACUAUAGCUUGACACUGAACAUUGAGCCUUGAUGUGUAGGAUAGGUGGGAGGCUUUGAAGUGUGGACGCCAGUCUGCAUGGAGCCAACCUUGAAAUACCACCCUUUAACGUUUGAUGUUCUAACCUAGGCCCAUAAACUGGGUCGGGGACCGUGUCUGGUGGGUAGUUUGACUGGGGCGGUCUCCUCCUAAAGAGUAACGGAGGAGCACGAAGGUUGGCUAAGCAUGGUCGGACAUCAUGCGGUUAGUGCAAAGGCAUAAGCCAGCUUGACUGCGAGAGUGACGGCUCGAGCAGGUACGAAAGUAGGUCUUAGUGAUCCGGUGGUUCUGAAUGGAAGGGCCAUCGCUCAACGGAUAAAAGGUACUCCGGGGAUAACAGGCUGAUACCGCCCAAGAGUUCAUAUCGACGGCGGUGUUUGGCACCUCGAUGUCGGCUCAUCACAUCCUGGGGCUGAAGUAGGUCCCAAGGGUAUGGCUGUUCGCCAUUUAAAGUGGUACGCGAGCUGGGUUUAGAACGUCGUGAGACAGUUCGGUCCCUAUCUGCCGUGGGCGUUGGAAGAUUGAGAGGGGUUGCUCCUAGUACGAGAGGACCGGAGUGAACGCACCACUGGUGUUCGGGUUGUCAUGCCAAUGGCAUUGCCCGGUAGCUAAGUGCGGAAGAGAUAACCGCUGAAAGCAUCUAAGCGGGAAACUUGCCUCGAGAUGAGUCUUCCCUGUCGCUUUAAGCGACCUAAAGGAACGUUUAAGACUAAGACGUUGAUAGGCUGGGUGUGUAAGCGUAGCGAUACGUUGAGCUAACCAGUACUAAUGAACCGUGAGGCUUAACCUGACAACACCGAAAGUGUUUUG